GCGUCGGUAGCGCAGUAGGCAGCGCGUCAGUCUCAUAAUCUGAAGGCCGUGAGUUCGAUCCUCACCCGGGGCA
rnacentral:tRNA from 1 species